rnacentral:misc_RNA from 1 species
UUUAUUCGUUCGCGCUGUGACUCAGAGAGACAGUAUACGCUAGUGUCUGGUUCGCCAUGGGUACGGACGCGAGUCCGGCCCUUAAUGAUCCCUCCGCUGGUUCACCAACGGAGA